ACAUCCUACCAGGCAUGCCUCUUCAUUUCUAGCCCAAGAGCUAUAUUUUCCUUGGGCUUGGCUCGUGUUUCCUGUGCUGCAUACCUAUUUGAAAGGCAUUCGGAUAGCCCAUUGUCUCUUGUUCGUCUUGUGCUACCCCUUUUGGGUGUGGCUUGGGGUGAACCUCAAAGCUUUUUCCGUGUGCCAUGUCGGCCACCUUGUGCUGCACAUGGCCCAUGGAGAUUUGCUUGAACUCUCGAAUACAGAAUGCUUAGUGGGUAUGUGGGGUCUUUGGCCUCUUUUUGCCCAAACAAGCGUUCGUCGCUUCUCAGCGCACGACAGCUGUGCAUGUUGUGAGUGUCCGUUCCUCGGUUCGGCCUACUCACAAGGUGCCAGCGUCAUCGAGGAAUGCU
rnacentral:misc_RNA from 1 species